UUUUUAAAAAAAACUAUUUUCUUCUUUUUUAAAAGGGGGAAUCAGUUAUUUCCUCAUCCUCAUCUGCACUGAAAAAAGCCAUCAACCAUGGGAAACUCGGAAAUUUCCAUCUUUGGGGAGGCCUCCCAAUAUCUCUGCAAGAGUGAGAAAGAAAGAAUUGAGGCCCAGAAUAAACCCUUUAAUGCCAAGAACACUAUAUUUGUAGAUGAUGCAAAGGAAUUGUAUGUUAAAGAUAUGAUUACAGCACAAGAAGAUGGCAGUCACAGUGAAGACUGACAGUGGCCGGACUUACUCUGGCCUUUUCUGCGUCACUGUGAACCCUUACAAGUGGCUGCCAAUGUAUAACCCAGAGGUUGUUGCCCGCUACAGAGAAAAGAAGUGUGUAGAAUUCCCACCUCACAUCUUCUUCCUUUCUGAUAAUGCCUACCAGAAACGGAACUAGAGGAGGCGGGCCCUGGCACAGGACGCGCAGCCUGGCCCCCGCCCC